UACAGAGGGUGCGAGCGUUAAUCGGAAUUACUGGGCGUAAAGCGAGCGCAGGCGGUUUGUUAAGUCAGAUGUGAAAGCCCCGAGCUCAACUUGGGAAUUGCGUUUGAAACUGGCAGGCUAGAGUGUGUCAGAGGGGGGUAGAAUUCCACGUGUAGCGGUGAAAUGCGUAGAGAUCUGGAGGAAUACCGAUGGCGAAGGCAGCCAUCUGGCCUAAUACUGACACUGAGGUACGAAAGCAUGGGGAGCAAACAGG
rnacentral:rRNA from 1 species